GUGAAGAUGUAUGUGUAUGUAAUGUAUAUGAAUGUGUAUAUAUGUAUAUGGGCCCAUACCUCUUAAUGGCAUCUAUUAAAGCUGUAAAGGUUUUUGCAGCUUAAGAAAACUAAUAUUAUGAGGAUGGAGAAGCAUGGAGGAACCUUAUCUCUUUAAUUAAUUCUUUUUUUUUUCGAAUCCAUAUAAUUCUUUAAUAUAUCACAACUGUUUUUAUAUUUCUUUCAAAUUAAUUUGGGUUUUUUUUGCUUAUCUACCUUCUUGGGGGUAUAAAAUCUCAAAUCUUUCUCUCUUUUCAAUUUAAUUAUUUUAUUCCCUCUUAUCUCUAUUAUCUCUGCACCGUCUUCUAUAUAAACCCAGAGCGAGUGAGUCCUCUAGUAUUCAGAAGCACCCCAAACAAAUAUGUAGAGAUAUCCUCUUCCAUAUCUAUUGUUACUUCCGAGAAGAAAAAUAUCAAAAAUAUAUGGUUUUCACAUAUACAUUUUUUUUUUGGUUUGUGCAUGGUUGUCCAUAUAUAUAAGUGGGUAUAGUGAAACGCGUAUGUGACGAAAGUAGUGUGCAGCCAAGGAUGACUUGCCGAUUUAAAUGAUCUUUCUUUAUACUCUAUUAAGACAUUUUAAGUUUCAAAUUUCUUUGGUUCUUCAAGGAUUAAGGAAGAAAGUAGGCUAUAUAUGUAGAUAUAUAUAUUAUGCUGUAUUAAAUAUAUGUACAAGAUAAGACCAAAAAAGAAAAAGUAACAAUCAUGAUCGGCAAGUUGUCCUUGGCUACACGUUACUUUGUGUCGCGCAUAGGUGUUAUGUGGUAAAGAUCCCCAAGAACUCAAGCUAAGGAACAAUGCAGAACGAGCUGCUGCCAACAGAAAAAAAAACCAUGAGAGGAGGUAAUAAAUAACUUAUUUUUUGGCGGCCACAUUACGGAGGCCAAGCCAUAUAUCCGGCAGAGUCGAACUCUUGGGUGAAAUUAAAAGAGACGGUCGCAGGUGGAACGUAAUUAGGCUAGAGGUGCUUCUCGGUAAUUAAUAAGUUUUUACCAAAAAAAUAAGUUUUUACUCACACCAAACCAGACAUUUUAUAAUUAGGGAUUACUUGGUUGUAUUGCUUUUUUGGAAAGUUUAUUUGUAAAAAUGAUGAUGUGGUAUGAUUUAUGUAUAAUUUAAAUAAAGAAUGUGAUACGA